CUGAGCCCAGUCCCGAGGCCUCACCUUGCUCCGUCAGCCCCGAAGCAGCAGCAGCAGGCCCGGCGCUCCCCGAGCUGACUGCCAAGAAGUCAGAGCCAACCGUCUACUGAGCACAGAAAUCAGAACCCGGAGCUGGUAGGACUCAGGGCGGCUGACCGCGCUGGCUACCCAGGGCCCGUAGGACCCCCCUGCCCAGCAGAGGAGCUGAGGCACCAAACCACAGGUCCAGCGGACCAGAGCCAAUUUCGUCCACACGUCCAUAACGGAGCCCCACCUCAGCGCAGAGGCCCAGCAGCCCUGGCGGCCGCCCAGAGCCUCCCACCGGGGAGGACGGCGGUGCCCUGACACGCAGGCGGUGAGCUCCAUAGCAACCACUUUCUGAACCCACCGGGGACCCUCGUGACCAGGAGGUGCAGGAAAGCCUCUGCAUCCCGCCUACCUGCCACUGACGCCGUGGCCUGUGCCCCUCAGACACUCAGAGCACAGAACUGAGGACACCUCUGGCCUAAUUCGUGAGCUUUUCAUAAAACCCUCAUUCAAAAGUCUCUCCAUCCAUCCAUUGGGAAGCAUUUAUUGAGCCCCUGCUAUGUGCCUGGCACACCAGGUACCAGGAGGCUGCAGGGCCUGCCUGGGAAGGUGGCCCCAUCCUAUUGUGAGGACUCAGCCAGGGCACUGACGCCCAGGGCACCAGGCAGGCAGGGCAAAAGCCAGCACCUGGAGCAGAGGGUGCAGGUGCCAGGUCCAGAAAGAGGGGUUUGCCAGGCAGCGUAACGGUUCAGGAAGCCAGUGCAAUCUCAAUCAGAGUUUCAAACAGUAGGGGGUCCCCUAGGGAUAGGCCCCCAGUGCCCCUUGGACCACCACCCACAGUAUCUUUCCUAGGUGGCAGAGAGGCAGAAGGGGAGUUCGGGCAGGGGGCCGGGCGAGGUCUGCAACCUCUUCCCUCCAGGUGGGACCAGUGACCAGCAAAGGAACCCCUGCCUGGGCUCCCAACUACAGCAGCACCUCCAAGGACAGGCAGAUAUAAUUGGGACCCAAAUCGUCAGGCAUCGUGAGCUGAUAGCACGAAUAAAGGAGGAGGUUGUUUGCGGUGCCUCAUGGGGACAUUCCUGCAGCGAGAGGGCCAUCCACUACCUGCUCUGGGGGUGCGUGAGAGCCAGCCCAGGACUUCAAGCUGCGCCCAGGCCGGGCACAAAGGGGCUUUCAUCCCAGGGGACGACCCGUCUUCAAUUGGCGAUUGGCGAUGAAAGAACUCCCAGAUCCUGGCUUCCCGGUGCCCUCACGCCGCGGGGAGGCGCCCAUUAACUCUGUGCUGCCCAUGCUCCCUGCAGGCUGGGGGGCCGGGGCUUAUCAGCCGGGAGAGGGGCCUGCCAGGUGCUCCGGGUCCACCAGCGGCUCCCUCCAUCACCUCCUGCUCAGGGGCCCGUGUGGGACUCUAGUGGACCCCGGGGGUCCUGUCCCCACAUGUGGCCUAGCCCAGGGCUGUGCUAUUCGUGUCCAGUUUCAUUUUUCUCCAGAAGCUGAUCUUUCAUUUUUCUUUCCACCCAUAAAAGCAUCUAAACAACUUCUCAGAACCCCCUGGGCCCAGCCCCCCAGCGGAGUAUCUGAAAUCUGGAGUUGUGAGCUGGGUUUGGGGGGUCACCUUCGGGGAGGCAGAGGGGCCGGGCGUCCUGUAUUGUUUGUGGUUCAAAUACUGUGUGCUUUCCUGUUUGACUCACAUAAUUUCACAAAAUAAAAUUAAAAAUCAUGAAA